UACGUAGGGUGCAAGCGUUGUCCGGAAUUAUUGGGCGUAAAGAGCGUGUAGGCGGCUUGGUAGGUCCGCUGUGAAAACUCGAGGCUCAACCUCGAGAUGUCGGCGGAAACCACUUGGCUAGAGUCCGGAAGAGGAGAGUGGAAUUCCCGGUGUAGCGGUGAAAUGCGUAGAUAUCAGGAGGAACACCUGUGGCGAAAGCGGCGCACUGGACCACAACUGACGCUGAGGCGCGAAAGCUAGGGGAGCAAACAGG
rnacentral:rRNA from 1 species